CCUACGGGAGGCUGCAGUGGGGAAUAUUGCACAAUGGGGGAAACCCUUAUGCAGCGACGCCGCGUGAGUGAAGCAGUAUUUCGGUCUGUAAAGCUCUAUCAGCAGGGAAGAAAAUGACGGUACCUUACUAAGAAGCCCCGGCUAACUACGUGCCAGCAGCCGCGGUAAUACGUAGGGGGCAAGCGUUAUCCGGAUUUACUGGGUGGAAAGGGAGCGUAGACGGCCAGACAAGUCAGAAGUGAAAGCCCAGGGCUCAACCCUGGGACUGCUUUUGAAACUGCCGGGCUGGAGUGCAGGAGAGGUAAGCGGAAUUCCUAGUGUAGCGGUGAAAUGCGUAGAUAUUAGGAGGAACACCAGUGGCGAAGGCGGCUUACUGGACUGUAACUGACGUUGAGGCUCGAAAGCGUGGGGAGCAAACAGGAUUAGAUACCCCUGUAGUC
rnacentral:rRNA from 1 species